rnacentral:rRNA from 1 species
UCAGGCCUAACACAUGCAAGUCGAGCGGAUGAAGGUAGCUUGCUAUCUGAUUCAGCGGCGGACGGGUGAGUAAUGCCUAGGAAUCUGCCUGGUAGUGGGGGACAACGUUUCGAAAGGAACGCUAAUACCGCAUACGUCCUACGGGAGAAAGUGGGGGAUCUUCGGACCUCACGCUAUCAGAUGAGCCUAGGUACGAUUAGCUAGUUGGUGAGGUAAAGGCUCACCAAGGCGACGAUCGUUAACUGGUCUGAGAGGAUGAUCAGUCACACUGGAACUGAGACACGGUCCAGACUCCUACGGGAGGCAGCAGUGGGGAAUAUUGGACAAUGGGCGAAAGCCUGAUCCAAAGGUGCCGCGUGUGUGAAGAAGGUCUUCGGAUGUAAUUAAAGAGAAGUUGGGAGGAAGGGCAGUAAGUUAAUACC